AGCCCUACAGUUAAUAAGUGGAAUUGCUAGGCCUGGAUCACAAGUAAGUUAACUCUCAACUUUACCCUACACUAACCUCUGCACCCUUCUAGAAAACAUUCUGUGUUAUUACUGGCAGUGACAAAACUAUGGGAUGCAUAAAUGAACAUGAUGAUCUUCUGUAGAAAUUCUCUUGUUCCUAAAUAACUUCCCCCGAUUUUUUGUAAAUCGACAAUGACUUUUUUUCCACUGAAACUUUGGAGUUGGACAGGGAAAUUAAAAUGGCAAAUCUGAUAUAGCUUUGAAAAACAUAAUACAUAAAUUACAAUCACAUUAAGAUGAUUACGGCAUAGGAAUGACAGUCAAAGGAAAUGAGAAAAGGACUUCUUCUCUAGAGAGCAAAGCAAUUACCCUGCAAGAUUGUAAGUUGGCUGUAAAUCUAAGAUACACUGCCUGUCUACUUAUGCAGAACUGGUGUUGCUAUGUCAUUGUUAUGUUACUUAAUGAUACCAAUUAUUUAAAAAUUAAGCACAGGGUACUUCAUGACAUUGUAUUUAUUAUAUUUCAGUGGAGCUGAUUUCAAAUUUCCUUCAGGGAAACACAGACUUUCACUACUUCUUCCCAAGCCUUUCAUAUUUUCCCUGAAGCUGUACUUUUUUUAUGCUAACACUUUUAGUGGAAAUUUCCAACAUAAAAAAUUAAAAAGGUCUAUUUUAUGAUGAAGCAUAGUAGCUUAAAUAUUUUAAAUGGCACCCCAGACUCAAGAAGCUAAUUGGUUUUUCAUAGCACAACCCUCUGAAGUACCCACACUGCAAACCGGCUUAGAUAAAAACCAAGAUGCAUCUUUCUCUUAGGUUUCAAGGUCCACUGGGACUUUCUGAGACAAGUGAUGCUAUAAAGAAAAAUAGAAAUCACCUGGAGACUAGGAAAAUAAUAAUGAAGUAAGACUACAAUUAUGCCAAUCUUAAUCCAUCUGUCUUUGUGUGUUUGCUCCAUGUUUCAUCACCUGUUCAGUCACAGGUGUGCUUUUAAUGAAGUCAGAAAUGGUACAACCCCAUCAAACUAAGACUUCUGAGUGUAGGAUACAUGCACAUUCUCACUGGCUCAUUUAGGCAGACCAGCCCCGAGAUGGUUUUCAAGUCUAUGUGGUGCCAGAGUGUAACACAGAGGAGUUUUAAUGGCAAGACUAAAUAAAAGCCUGGAUUCUUCUUAGAGAAAAUAUUUUAGGGCACACAUCUUUUACUGAUCCCUGUUAGUACACAACAGAAAUAUUACUAAAUGAUUGCUUUAUAGGAAUAAUAAAAUGUAGCAUGUAAAGCAGAAACACUAUAGACUGAAAAACUUAGCUAAAGUGCUAUACAUUUUUUUUUAAAUGCCUAUUAACCUACACUUAAGUUGCAGGCUGAAAUCCUGCAUCAGUUUCUGCUGGAGUUUAUAAAAGUAUAGCUUAUACAGAGUAAAUAUUAAAUUGUCCUAAUGUUUAUCAUUUAGGAGAGCUGCAGCAUGAUAAAGACACAGAAUUGGGCUGGAUGCAGUUGCUCAUGCCUGUAAUCCCAGCACUUUGGGAGGCCAACGUGGGCAGGAUCAUUUCAGCCCAAGAUUUUAAGAUUGCAGUAAGCUAUGAUUGUGCCACUGCAUUCUAACCUGGGUGACAGAAUGAGACUCUGUCUCUAAAAAUAAAUAAAUAAUAAAUAGUCACAAAAGACAAAGAAGGAGUAUGUAGUGAUAAUAGGGUGAAAUCAUGAGGAAGAUGUAACAAUUAUAAAUAUUUAUGCAUCCAACAUCAGAGCACUCAAAUAUAUGAAGAAGUUACCGAGAGAACUGAAGGGAGAAGUAAACAGCAAUUAAAUGA